GACGAACGCUGGCGGCGUGCUUAACACAUGCAAGUCGAACGGAAAGACCCUGCUUUUGUGGGGUUCUCGAGUGGCGAACGGGUGAGUAACACGUGAGUAACCUGCCCUUGACUUUGGUAUAGCUUCAGGAAACUGGGGCUAAUACCGGAUCGGAGCUCCUGCUGCAUGGUGGGGGUUGGAAAGUUUCGGCGGUUGGGGAUGGACGGGCGGCUUAUCAGCUUGUUGGUGGGGUAGUGGCUUACCAAGGCAUUGACGGGUAGCCGGCCUGAGAGGGUGACCGGCCACCAUGGGACUGAGGUACGGCGCAGAGGCCUAUGUGAGGCAGCAGGGGGGAACAUUGCACAGUGGGAGGAAGUCUGAUGCAGCAACGCCGGGGGCGGGAUGACGGCUUUUGGGUUGUAAACCGCUUUCGCCUGUGACGAAGCGGGAGUGACGGUAAUGGGUAAAGAAGCACCGGCUAACUACGUG
rnacentral:rRNA from 1 species